GACGAACGCUGGCGGCGUGCCUAAUACAUGCAAGUAGAACGCUGAAGAGAGGAGCUUGCUCUUCUUGGAUGAGUUGCGAACGGGUGAGUAACGCGUAGGUAACCUGCCUUGUAGCGGGGGAUAACUAUUGGAAACGAUAGCUAAUACCGCAUAACAAUGGAUGACACAUGUCAUUUAUUUGAAAGGGGCAAUUGCUCCACUACAAGAUGGACCUGCGUUGUAUUAGCUAGUAGGUGAGGUAAUGGCUCACCUAGGCGACGAUACAUAGCCGACCUGAGAGGGUGAUCGGCCACACUGGGACGGAGACACGGCCCAGACUCCUACGGGAGGCAGCAGUAGGGAAUCGUCGGCAAUGGGGGCAACCCUGACCGAGCAACGCCGCGUGAGUGAAGAAGGUUUUCGGAUCGUAAAGCUCUGUUGUAAGUCAAGAACGGGUGUGAGAGUGGAAAGUUCACACUGUGACGGUAGCUUACCAGAAAGGGACGGCUAACUACGUG
rnacentral:rRNA from 1 species